GACGAACGCUGGCGGCGUGCUUAACACAUGCAAGUCGAACGGAAAGGCCCUGCUUUUGUGGGGUGCUCGAGUGGCGAACGGGUGAGUAACACGUGAGUAACCUGCCCUUGACUUUGGGAUAACUUCAGGAAACUGGGGCUAAUACCGGAUAGGAGCUCCUGCUGCAUGGUGGGGGUUGGAAAGUUUCGGCGGUUGGGGAUGGACUCGCGGCUUAUCAGCUUGUUGGUGGGGUAGUGGCUUACCAAGGCUUUGACGGGUAGCCGGCCUGAGAGGGUGACCGGCCACAUUGGGACUGAGAUACGGCCCAGACUCCUACGGGGGGCAGCGGUGGGGAAUAGUGCACAAUGGGCGGAAGCCUGAUGCAGCAACGCCGCGUGCGGGAUGACGGCCUUCGGGUUGUAAACCGCUUUCGCCUGUGACGAAGCGUGAGUGACGGUAAUGGGUAAAGAAGCACCGGCUAACUACGUG
rnacentral:rRNA from 1 species